rnacentral:rRNA from 1 species
GACGAACGCUGGCGGCGUGCUUAACACAUGCAAGUCGAACGAAGUGGCGAACGGGUGAGUAACGCGUAAUCAACCUGCCCUUCAGAGGGGGACAACAGUUGGAAACGACUGCUAAUACCGCAUACUGAAGGAGGGGAUUGCGUCUGAUUAGCUAGUUGGAGGGGUAACGGCCCACCAAGGCGAUGAUCAGUAGCCGGUCUGGGAGAAGGACCGGCAAAAUUGGGACUGAGCAAGGGCCCAGACUCCUACGGGAGGCAGAGGUGGGGAUUUGUCCGCAAUGGGGGCAAGCGUGACGGAGCAACGCCGCGUGGGUGAAGCAGGUUUUCGGAUCGUAAGGCUCUGUUGUAAGGGAGCGGUAUCUUAACAGAAAGCCACGGCUAACUACGUGCCAGCAGCCGCGGUAAUUC